GACGAACCGAGCGAACGUUGUUCGGAAUCACUGGGCUUAAAGGGCGCGUAGGCGGGUGCUCAAGUCCGUGGUGAAAUCCUCCGGCUCAACCGGAGAACUGCCUCGGAUACUGGGCGUCUCGAGUGUGGUAGGGGUAUGCGGAACUAUCGGUGGAGCGGUGAAAUGCGUUGAUAUCGAUAGGAACUCCGGUGGCGAAGGCGGCAUACUGGACCACCACUGACGCUGAUGCGCGAAAGCUAGGGGAGCAAACGGG
rnacentral:rRNA from 1 species